GAUGAAGAACGCAGCGAAAUGCGAUAAGUAGUGUGAAUUGCAGAAUUCAGUGAAUCAUCGAAUCUUUGAACGCACAUUGCGCCCCUUGGUAUUCCAUGGGGCAUGCCUGUUCGAGCGUCAUUUGUACCUUCAAGCUUUGCUUGGUGUUGGGUGUUUGUCCAUUCUCUUGCAGAGGGACUCGCCUUAAAGUAAUUGGCAGCCAGUGUUUUGGUUUUGAAGCGCAGCACAAGUCGCGAUUCAAAGCUAUACGCCCGCUUCCACAAGCCUUUUUCACUUUUGACCUCGGAUCAGGUAGGGAUACCCGCUGAACUUAAGCAUAUCAUAAGCGGAGGA
rnacentral:misc_RNA from 1 species